rnacentral:tRNA from 1 species
GCCCGGAUAGCUCAGUUGGUAGAGCAAAGGGUUGAAAUCCUUCCGUCCUUGGUUCGAUGCCGAGUCCGGGCACCA